rnacentral:misc_RNA from 1 species
GGAAGUAGAAGUCGUAACAAGGUCUCCGUAGGUGAACCUGCGGAGGGAUCAUUACAGAGUUCAUGCCCUACCGGGUAGAUCUCCCACCCUAUGUUAUUAUUACUUUGUUGCUUUGGCGGGCCGUUAGGCUCCGGCCCGACUACCGGCCCCGGCUGGUAAGCGCCCGCCAGAGGACCCAAAACCCUGAAUAUUAGUGUCGUCUGAGUACUAUCUAAUAGUUAAAACUUUCAACAACGGAUCUCUUGGUUCUG